GUUUAAGUAAACUUAUUAGAAUAUCAAUCCACUGAGAAGCACAACAACUAAAGAAGAAUUUAAAUGUACACAAUGGUGCUCCAUAUAUACAUGCAGUUUAAGAAUAUUAAAACCUUCGUGUUGUAGCAAACGGCGCAUCAUUGAUUGGAUUACUGCGUUAACAACUGCGAUUCACGAGUACACGCCUAUACGAGGACACGACCAUAAGAAGGAACACUUCCUCGUCUUAAAAUUGCUUUUCGUAGAAAAAAAUAUUGUGCAAUCACACCAAAUGUGCGAUAGAUCCAGAACAAAGUGUCUAGUCGUUGGCAACAAUAAAAAAAUAAAGGUAUCCACAAAACCAGGAUAUGUGUGCAUCCUGAAUAAAACAAAAAUAUGUGUAUAUACGUACUAUGGGAUGCGCUAAAAUAUAUGAUGCAUCGAUUUCUUUUUCUGAAAGACAUUUACAACAUUAUUUUUAACAAUAUGUGCCUGUUAUUAAAGGGGCCUUUUCACGUUUUGGUAAAUUGACGAAACAACUGUUUCAGAUUCGCAUAUUUUCGUUUUAGUUAUAAUAUUUUAGAGGAAACAGUAACACUGAACAUUUACAACGCUAUAAAAUUCCAUUUUAUGCAUCUUUUGACGAUUUAAAAACCUGAAAAUUUUAAAGCGUUGCAACGCGAAACGAUUGAAAAAAAUUUAAGAGUUCUUUUGUUGUCGUUGUCGUUAUAUUUUGGGUUGCUACGAGGAUAGCUUAUAUAAAAUAUAAAAUACAUCACGCAUUGUAUGAGCACGGAUGGUCGAAUUGUCUUAGCGAUAGACUUUUACUUCAGGGGUCAGUGGUUCGAGCCCAGUUGAUGGUUACUUUAUGUCUUUCUUUAAUUGUAUUCUUGUUUUUACUGGAGCUUUUAAGAUCCAAUGUUUACAUUUAUCAAUAUAAAGCAUUUAAUGACAAACUUCAAUACAUGUCAAAA